AACGAACGCUGGCGGCAUGCCUAACACAUGCAAGUCGAACGAGACCUUCGGGUCUAGUGGCGCACGGGUGCGUAACGCGUGGGAACCUGCCCUUAGGUUCGGAAUAACUCCCCGAAAGGGGUGCUCAUACCGGAUAAUGUCUUCGGACCAAAGAUUUAUCGCCUUUGGAUGGGCCCGCGUUGGAUUAGCUAGUUGGUAGGGUAAAAGCCUACCAAGGCGACGAUCCAUAGCUGGUCUGAGAGGAUGAUCAGCCACACUGGGACUGAGACACGGCCCAGACUCCUACGGGAGGCAGCAGUGGGGAAUAUUGGACAAGGGGCGAAAGCCUGAUCCAGCAAUGCCGCGUGAGUGAUGAAGGCCUUAGGGUUGUAAAGCUCUUUUACCCGGGAUGAUAAUGACAGUACCGGGAGAAUAAGCGCCGGCUAACUCCGUG
rnacentral:rRNA from 1 species